rnacentral:rRNA from 1 species
UACGUAGGGUGCGAGCGUUGUCCGGAAUUACUGGGCGUAAAGAGCUCGUAGGCGGUGUGUCGCGUCGGCCGUGAAAACCUGGGGCUCAACUCUGGGCGUGCGGUCGAUACGGGCAUCACUUGAGUUCGGCAGGGGAGACUGGAAUUCCUGGUGUAGCGGUGAAAUGCGCAGAUAUCAGGAGGAACACCGGUGGCGAAGGCGGGUCUCUGGGCCGAUACUGACACUGAGGAGCGAAAGCGUGGGGAGCAAACAGG